UACGAAGGGGGCUAGCGUUGUUCGGAAUUACUGGGCGUAAAGCGCACGUAGGCGGGUCGUUAAGUCAGGGGGGAAAUCCCGGAGCUCAACUCCGGAACUGCCUUUGAUACUGGCGAUCUAGAGGUCGAGAGAGGUGAGUGGAAUUCCGAGUGUAGAGGUGAAAUUCGUAGAUAUUCGGAAGAACACCAGUGGCGAAGGCGGCUCACUGGCUCGAUACUGACGCUGAGGUGCGAAAGCGUGGGGAGCAAACAGG
rnacentral:rRNA from 1 species